rnacentral:misc_RNA from 1 species
GAAAUGCGAUAAGUAAUGUGAAUUGCAGAAUUCAGUGAAUCAUCGAAUCUUUGAACGCACAUUGCGCCCGCCAGUAUUCUGGCGGGCUUGCCUGUUCGAGCGUCAUUUCAACCAUCAAGCCCCCGGCUUGUGUUGGGGACCUGCGGCUGCCCGCAGGCCCUGAAAACCAGUGGCGGGCUCGCUGUCACACCGAGCGUAGUAGCAUACAUCUCGCUCAGGGCGUGCUGCGGGUUCCGGCCGUUAAAAGCCUUUUUUACCCAAGGUUGACCUCGGAUCAGGUAGGAAGACCCGCUGAACUUAAGC